rnacentral:rRNA from 1 species
AACGAACGCUGGCGGCACGCCUAACACAUGCAAGUCGAGCGCUUCACUUCGGUGAGGAGCGGCGGACGGGUUAGUAACGCGUGGGAACAUACCCUUUUCUAAGGAAUAGCCACUGGAAACGGUGAGUAAUACCUUAUACGCCCUUCGGGGGAAAGAUUUAUCGGUGAAGGAUUGGCCCGCGUUAGAUUAGUUUGUUGGUGGGGUAAUGGCCUACCAAGACUACGAUCUAUAGCUGGUUUGAGAGGAUGAUCAGCAACACUGGGACUGAGACACGGCCCAGACUCCUACGGGAGGCAGCAGUGGGGAAUCUUAGACAAUGGGCGCAAGCCUGAUCUAGCGAUGCCGCGUGAGUGAUGAAGGCCUUAGGGUCGUAAAGCUCUUUCGCCAGGGAUGAUAAUGACAGUACCUGGUAAAGAAACCCCGGCUAACUCCGUGCCAGCAGCCGCGGUAAUACGGAGGGGGUUAGCGUUGUUCGGAAUUACUGGGCGUAAAGCGUACGUAGGCGGAUCAGAAAGUAAGGGGUGAAAUCCCAGGGCUCAACCCUGGAACUGCCUCUUAAACUCCUGGUCUUGAGUUCGAGAGAGGUGAGUGGAAUUCCAAGUGUAGAGGUGAAAUUCGUAGAUAUUUGGAGGAACACCAGUGGCGAAGGCGGCUCACUGGCUCGAUACUGACGCUGAG